GAUAGGUCGGGCUGAAGACUCUACUUGACUAGCUGAGAGGAGGUGCAUGGCCGUCGUCAGUUCGUACUGUGAAGCAUCCUGUUAAGUCAGGCAACGAGCGAGACCCACGCCCACAGUUGCCAGCGUACUCUCUGGAGUGACGGGUACACUGUGGGGACCGCCGCUGCUAAAGCGGAGGAAGGAAUGGGCAACGGUAGGUCAGUAUGCCCCGAAUAUCCCGGGCUACACGCGAGCUACAAUGGUCGGUACAAUGGGUAUCUACCCCGAAAGGGGACGGGAAUCUCCUAAAACCAAUCUUAGUUCGGAUUGAGGGCUGCAACUCGCCCUCAUGAAGCUGGAAUCCGUAGUAAUCGCGUUUCAACAGAACGCGGUGAAUACGUCCCUGCUCCUU
rnacentral:rRNA from 1 species